AGCAGCCGCGGUAAUUCCAGCUCCAAUAGCGUAUAUUAAAGUUGUUGCAGUUAAAAAGCUCGUAGUUGAAUUUCGGGAUCAGACUGUCGGUCGUGCCUCGGUACGCACUGGCAUUAUUGGUUCCUACCUUCUGAAGAACCGCGAUGUCAUUAAUUUGGUGUCGCGGGGAAUCAGGACUGUUACUUUGAAAAAUUAGAGUGUUUAAAGCAGGCUUACGCUUGAAUACAUUAGCAUGGAAUAAUGAAAUAGGACGUUUGAUUCUAUUUUGUUGGUUUCUAGGAUCGACGUAAUGAUUAAUAGGGAUAGUUGGGGGCAUUAGUAUUCAAUUGUCAGAGGUGAAAUUCUUGGAUUUAUUGAAGACUAACUACUGCGAAAGCAUUUGCCAAGGAUGUUUUCAUUAAUCAAGAACGAAAGUUAGGGGAUCGAAGACGAUCAGAUACCGUCGUAGUCUUAACCAUAAACUAUGCCGACUAGGGAUCGGAUGAUGUUAAUUUUAUAAUGACCA
rnacentral:rRNA from 1 species